rnacentral:rRNA from 1 species
AUUGAACGCUGGCGGCAUGCUUUACACAUGCAAGUCGAACGGUAACAGGGUGCUUGCACCGCUGACGAGUGGCGAACGGGUGAGUAAUGCGUCGGAACGUGCCGAGUAGUGGGGGAUAACGCAGCGAAAGUUGUGCUAAUACCGCAUACGUACUGAGGUAGAAAGUGGGGGACCUUCGGGCCUCACGCUAUUCGAGCGGCCGACGUCUGAUUAGCUAGUAGGUGAGGUAAAGGCUCACCUAGGCGACGAUCAGUAGCGGGUCUGAGAGGAUGAUCGGCCACACUGGGACUGAGACACGGCCCAGACUCCUACGGGAGGCAGCAGUGGGGAAUUUUGGACAAUGGGCGAAAGCCUGAUCCAGCCAUGCCGCGUGUCUGAAGAAGGCCUUCGGGUUGUAAAGGGCUUUUGUCAGGGAGGAAAUCCCUAGUGCUAAUAACACUGGGGGAUGACAGUACCUGAAGAAUAAGCACCGGCUAACUACGUGCCAGCCGCCGCGGUAA